CCUACGGGAGACUGCAGUAGGGAAUCUUUCACAAUGGGCGAAAGCCUGAUGGAGCAACGCCGCGUGCAGGAUGAAGGCCUUCGGGUUGUAAACUGCUUUUAUAAGCGAGAAAUAUGAUGGUAACUUAUGAAUAGGGAUCGGCUAACUACGUGCCAGCAGCCGCGGUCAUACGUAGGAUCCGAGCAUUAUCCGGAGUGACUGGGUGUAAAGAGUUGCGUAGGUGGCAUAAUAAGUAGCUAGUGAAAUCUGGUGGCUCAACCAUUCAGACUAUUAGCUAAACUGUUAAGCUCGAGACCGUUAGGGGUAACUGGAAUUUCUAGUGUAGGAGUGAAAUCCGUAGAUAUUAGAAGGAACACCAGUAGCGUAGGCAGGUUGCUGGGACGGUUCUGACACUAAGGCACGAAAGCGUAGGGAGCAAACGGGAUUAGAUACCCUUGUAGUC
rnacentral:rRNA from 1 species